rnacentral:rRNA from 1 species
CGUAGGUAACCUGCCUGGUAGCGGGGGAUAACUAUUGGAAACGAUAGCUAAUACCGCAUAAGAGUAGAUGUUGCAUGACAUUUGCUUAAAAGGUAGCAAUUGCAUCACUACCAGAUGGACCUGCGUUGUAUUAGCUAGUUGGUGGGGUAACGGCUCACCAAGGCGACGAUACAUAGCCGACCUGAGAGGGUGAUCGGCCACACUGGGACUGAGACACGGCCCAG